rnacentral:miRNA from 1 species
UGUUGUAUGUGUAUGUGUGCAUGUGUAUGUGUGUAUACACACAUACAUAUAUAU